GACGAACGCUGGCGGCGUGCCUGAUACAUGCAAGUAGAACGCUGAAGAGAGGAGCUUGCUCUUCUUGGAUGAGUUGCGAACGGGUGAGUAACGCGUAGGUAACCUGCCUGGUAGCGGGGGAUAACUAUUGGAAACGAUAGCUAAUACCGCAUAACAACAGUUGUUGCAUGACAGCUGUUUAAAAGAUGCAAUUGCAUCACUACCAGAUGGACCUGCGUUGUAUUAGCUAGUUGGUGAGGUAACGGCUCACCAAGGCGACGAUACAUAGCCGACCUGAGAGGGGGAUCGGCCACACUGGGACUGAGACACGGCCCAGACUCCUACGGGAGGCAGCAGUAGGGAAUCUUCGGCAAUGGGGGGAACCCUGACCGAGCAACGCCGCGUGAGUGAAGAAGGGUUUCGGAUCGUAAAGCUCUGUUGUAAGAGAAGAACGGGUGUGAGAGUGGAAAGUUCACACUGUGACGGUAGCUUACCAGAAAGGGACGGCUAACUACGUG
rnacentral:rRNA from 1 species